rnacentral:rRNA from 1 species
UACGUAGGGGCAAGGCGUUGUCCGGAUUCAUUGGGCGUAAAGCGCGUGUAGGCGGCCAGGUAGGUCUGGUGUGAAAACUUGAGGCUCAACCUCAAGAGGUCAUCGGAAACCAUCUGGCUAGAGUCCGGAAGAGGAGAGUGGAAUUCCAGGUGUAGCGGUGAAAUGCGUAGAUAUCUGGAGGAACACCGGUGGCGAAGGCGGCAUCCUGGACCGACACUGACGCUGAGGCGCGAAAGCCAGGGGAGCAAACGGG